rnacentral:rRNA from 1 species
UGGGGAAUAUUGCACAAUGGGCGCAAGCCUGAUGCAGCAACGCCGCGUGAACGAUGAAGGUCUUCGGAUCGUAAAGUUCUGUUGCAGGGGAAGAUAAUGACGGUACCCUGUGAGGAAGCCCCGGCUACCUACGUGCCAGCAGCCGCGGUAAUACGUAGGGGGCUAGCGUUAUCCGGAUUUACUGGGCGUAAAGGGUGCGUAGGUGGUCUUUCAAGUCGGUGGUUAAAGGCUACGGCUCAACCGUAGUUAGCCUACGAAACUGGAAGACUUGAGUGCAGGAGAGGAAAGUGGAAUUCCCAGUGUAGCGGUCAAAUACGUAAAAAUUGGGAGGAAAACCAGUAGCGAAGGCGGUUUGCAAUACUGAAAAUAACACUGAGGCACGAAAGCGUGGGUAGCAAACAGG